rnacentral:rRNA from 1 species
CGGAUUGUAGGCUGAAACUCGCCUACAUGAAGCUGGAGUUGCUAGUAAUCGCGAAUCAGCAUGUCGCGGUGAGUACGUUCCCGGGCCUUGUACACACCGCCCGUCACACCAUGAGAGUUGGCAAUACCCAACGUACGUGAUCUAAUCCGCAAGGGAGGAAGCGUCCUAAGGUAGGGUCAGCGAUUGGGGUGAAGUCGUAACAAGGUACC